AACGAACGCUGGCGGCAGGCUUAACACAUGCAAGUCGAACGCCCCGCAAGGGGAGUGGCAGACGGGUGAGUAACGCGUGGGAACAUACCCUUUCCUGCGGAAUAGCUCCGGGAAACUGGAAUUAAUACCGCAUACGCCCUACGGGGGAAAGAUUUAUCGGGGAAGGAUUGGCCCGCGUUGGAUUAGCUAGUUGGCGGGGUCAAGGCCUACCAAGGCGACGAUCCAUAGCUGGUCUGAGAGGAUGAUCAGCCACAUUGGGACUGAGACACGGCCCAAACUCCUACGGGAGGCAGCAGUGGGGAAUAUUGGACAAUGGGCGCAAGCCUGAUCCAGCCAUGCCGCGUGAGUGAUGAAGGCCUUAGAGUUGUAAAGCUCUUUCACCGAUGAAGAUAAUGACGGUAGUCGGAGAAGAAGCCCCGGCUAACUUCGUG
rnacentral:rRNA from 1 species